GAGCGGCCGCCGGAGAUGCCUGACGCAUCUGUCUGAGGAGUGGUCAGUGACGCGAUGGAGCGGGCAAGGGAUUGCUUACACCUGAGACGAACUACAGAACAGCACGUACCAGAGGUGGAAGUCCAAGUCAAACGCAGAAGGACUGCCUCACUGAGCAACCAAGAGUGUCAGUUGUACCCGAGGCGUUCUCAGCAGCAGCAAGUACCUGUGGUGGAUUUCCAGGCUGAACUGAGGCAGGCAUUCUUAGCUGAGAAACCAAGAGGUGGUUACAGCCAUAUUGGAGUAGCUGGAGGAAUCUGAUUCCAAG